rnacentral:rRNA from 1 species
AUUGAACGCUGGCGGCAGGCCUAACACAUGCAAGUCGAGCGAGCGGCGGACGGGUGAGUAAUGUAUGGGGACUGCCCGAUAGAGGGGGAUAACUACUGGGAAAGGUGGCUAAUACCGCAUACUAUCGGAUAACCCAUAUGGGAUUAGCUAGUAGGUGGGGUAAAGGCUCACCUAGGCGACGAUCUCUAGCUGGUCUGAGAGGAUGAUCAGCCACACUGGGACUGAGACACGGCCCAGACUCCUACGGCUGCAGCAGUGGGGAAUAUUGCACAAUGGUCGCAAGCCUGAUGCCGCCAUGCCGCGUCGAUGAAGGAGGACUUAGGUUUGAAAAGUACUGUAAGCGGGGCUGCGUUACCCGCAGAAUAAGCACCGGCUAACUCCGUGCCAGCCGCCGCGGUAAUUC